GGGUGCUUCUCACUAAUGUCGCAGCUUGGUCAUGUGAAUUACUUUGGUCAAUGAGACAUGAACAAAUAUGAUACAAGCAGAGGCUUUAAAAGACUUGCAUAUUGGAGCUUGCUCUCAUUUUCUGUACUUGGAAUUCUGCAAUUGCCAUCAUGUGAACAAGCCCUGGCUACCCUCCUGGAUGAUUAUAGCCAAAUCACCUCCAUCACUCAAGGUGACAUUGAGUCAACUGCCUGAAGCCAUCCUAGACCAUCCAGCUUCAGCU
rnacentral:lncRNA from 1 species